GUAUUUAUCUAAACAAAAAGGGAAAAGUGACAAGAACACGUUUUAAGAACAUCUUAAGAGAACUACGGAUAGCAAUAGGAACAUAAAUUGAGCAAAAACAUUAUUAGUUAUAAAAGUUCGGUUUCCACACGGUCUUACAUUAGAGCUGUCCUUACCUGUGAACUGUGGUUUCCAAAUGAACGGAGUCUCGUUACUUAGCAACCGCAAACUUCCGGUGGCGGAGUGAUCUUACUACAUAGAAAGGUGUCUUCAUGGCCCGAUUUUUUAAAGGAGGCGGAGUGACAUGACUAAAAGGAGUAGUCAUGCGGUUGGAUCUUGCGCAGUAGUUUCUGGUCAGGAGAGCGCCAUUUCCAAAAAUAAACGGUUCAGGAUCAUCUUGGUCUCCAGGGUCAUCUGGAAGGAUCCAGUGUAGGACACCUCCAGAUCAAACCACAGACCUGAUGAAGACGCAGACAUGUCAAAGAUCAUGAAAGAAACCUUAAAUCCACAACAGAGAGUUGAAAGUGAAACGGAUGGAGCUGGAAGGAUCAUCACUGAGAGACAAACAUUUGUUCUCUUGAUUAAACACAUGCACUCAUGUCAGCAGCAGCAGGUCUGCUGUAAUCUGGAUUAAACAAACUCCUCACAGGUUUACACUGAAAUCCGAUAUAAAGACAGUCGUUUGGGUUUACUGCUGUUUAUUUUUCCCUUCAUGGCUUUUAUGUGCACAGCUCAUGCUGCUGUGGUGUCGUCUCUUUCAGCCACUAGAGGGCAGCAGCAGUUCAGAGAUCAAAUGAAAGAAUAGAGGAAGUGAAAGCUGUGAGAGAUUCCUUCAUAGAACACAGGAACCGCACAGAUGACAGAUGAUGUUUUUUUGUGGAAACAUUUUACAUGUGUGUGUGUUUUAGCUUUGACCUCUUCUUCU